UGCCAGCCGCCGCGGUAAUACGAACUGUGCAAACGUUAUUCGGAAUCACUGGGCUUAAAGGGUGCGUAGGCGGGUUUAAAGGUCUGAUGUGAAAGCCCACGGCUCAACCGUGGAAUUGCGUUGGAAACCAUAAGCCUUGAGGAGAUCAGAGGUGAGCGGAACUGAUGGUGGAGCGGUGAAAUGCGUUGAUAUCAUCAGGAACACCGGUGGCGAAAGCGGCUCACUGGGAUCUUUCUGACACUGAGGAGCGAAAGCGUGGGGAGCAAACAGGAUUAGAUA
rnacentral:rRNA from 1 species